AAAAAACUUUACACCGUCGGU
rnacentral:miRNA from 1 species